rnacentral:lncRNA from 1 species
GAUUAUGGCUGUCUGUUCUGCAUCACACAGGUUGCCAGGGAAAUGGGGGAAAGAUGGCAGCCACAGACCUCACCCACCUCCCACUCAGCCCAUGGCCUGAAAGGCCAGUUUCACUCCCACCAUGCCCCCAGCCCCACCCAAAAGCACUGAGUUUAUUUCUAGGCAGCUGAUGAGCAGGACCGAGAACUUGCCCCAGGCUACAAGCCUCCCAGCUGAGAAAGCAAGGGGACUCACAGUUCCUUGGCUGCCCAUGGAGCCUGCAGUGGCAAUCAACUGUCUUCAACGCAUCUGUGGAUUCUCUCAGCUUUCCUGGAGGAAGAGCAGAAUAUCUAUUUUUAAUCGCUGUUGAAAGAACUAACCAAGAUAACUCACAGAAUAUGUCUGGCCUAGAAUAAAAUUUUAAUAAAUAUAAAGUAUGUUUACCCUUCAUUUUUGUUUAUCAGAGGGAAAAACAUUCCCAGAGUUUUCUGAGUGAUCAUAGCAGAGGUAGGCAUAUAACCUCAUCUUAUUU